rnacentral:tRNA from 1 species
GCCCCGGUAGCUUCAGCUGGAUAGAGCAGCCCCCUCCUAAGGGGCAGGUCGGACGUUCAAGUCGUCUCCGGGGCACCA